rnacentral:rRNA from 1 species
CACGUAGGGGGCAAGCGUUGUCCGGAAUCAUUGGGCGUAAAGAGCUCGUAGGCGGCUCAGUAAGUCGGGUGUGAAACCCUCAGGCUCAACCUGGGGACGCCACCCGAUACUGCUGUGGCUAGAGUCCAGUAGGGGAGUGUGGAAUUCCCGGUGUAGCGGUGAAAUGCGUAGAUAUCUGGAGGAACACCGGUGGCGAAGGCGGCAUCCUGGACCGGCAUUGACGCUGAUGAGCGAAAGCCAGGGGAGCAAACGGG